GAUGCAGCUCAGUGGUAGGGUGUUCGCCUAUCAUGCACAUGGGCCUCGGUUUGAUCCCUAGAAGAGCAUUA
rnacentral:tRNA from 1 species